CCCUUAGAUGUUCUGGGCCGCACGCGCGCUACACUGAUGCAUUCAACGAGUCUAAAACCUGGUCUGAGAGGGCUGGGUAAUCUUUUGAAAGUGCAUCGUGAUUGGGAUAGAUGAUUGCAAUUCUUCAUCUUCAACGAGGAAUGCCUAGUAAACGCAAGUCAUCAGCUUGCAUUGAUUACGCCCCUGCCCUUUGUACACACCGCCCGUCGCUCCUACCGAUUGAACGAUCCGAUGAAAACUGUGGAUUGAGAGUCUGAGUGGGUUCGCCCACCUCAACUUUCGAGAAGCGGUUUAAAUCUUAUCGUUUAGAGGAAGGAGAAGUCGUAACA
rnacentral:rRNA from 1 species